CUCGUGAAAGUGAAUUUGACAGUUGUAAAAAUUAUACAGCGAAUUUUUUGUGUAUUCUGACUCAUCUUUUUUUCCUCACUUCGAUCAGCAUAAAAGCUUUUGAGAACCGAAGCAAGUUCUUCGCUAUUCUCUGGAUGGCCAAGCUUCUUUUCUCGUAGAUACUCUUCAAAAAUCGCUUUGCUUGCUUUUGUAGCUUUUUUUGUGUUUGCUGAGUCUUUUUCUUCCAGCAAUUUUUUUAUUUCAGCUUCCCCAAGGUCCGCGAACCUUUCCUUUGAGGAAGCCAUUUGUAUUUUCCCGCUUUUGGCAUAUAAGCAGCAUAAAUUAGUGUGACGUCAUAAUGUCGUAUAUGUGUUUUCAAUAUACGACCAAAUUACGUCAUAAUGUCUUAUAUGUGUUUUCAAUAUUCAAUGGUGAUGUCAUAACUCCAAAUUUGGGCAACUACCGAACGGAUAUGACGAUUUCAUCCACAGCUCUUAACCAAUCAAAACUCUUGAA